UACGUAGGGACCAAGCGUUGUUCGGAUUUACUGGGCGUAAAGGGCGCGUAGGCGGCGCGGUAAGUCACUUGUGAAAUCUCUGAGCUUAACUCAGAACGGCCAAGUGAUACUGCUGUGCUAGAGUGCAGAAGGGGCAAUCGGAAUUCUUGGUGUAGCGGUGAAAUGCGUAGAUAUCAAGAGGAACACCUGAGGUGAAGACGGGUUGCUGGGCUGACACUGACGCUGAUGCGCGAAAGCCAGGGGAGCAAACGGG
rnacentral:rRNA from 1 species